UUCAAAGCCCAUAGUUCUGUUAGUUAGAGCAUGGUGCUAAUAACACCAAGGUCACAGGUUCAAUCCCUGUUAGGGAAA